GGGCAGGACUGAAGUUUUGGGUCAAUCAAGGACCAUCACAAUGUCCCAAAGGACAGCUUUCGCAGCAGGGAUCCAGGAAAGCAACGCUUAUGGAGAAGGGGACAACCACUACCAUCAACUUUCAUCCAUAUGGUGGGGAAACCAUCUAACUAAAAUAGCAACAUGUCUUGAGGCAGGGAGAGAAAGAAUACAGGAUGUUCCAGGGUCAUCAAAGUCCAGAGGCAAGACAGGAGUCAUGGUGACUGACAAUGGCUUGAGAUGCAGUAGAUGAUCUUGGCUUCUUUGGAUGUCUAAACAAGUUCUGAGUACUCUACAGUACCUACUUCAUUUGCUUUCUUGGCUUAGAACAUAUUGUUCUCAUCCACUCAUUCUACUAGAAGUCUUCACAUGGUUGAGGGUAGAGGUCACUGAUAGGUUGAGGCUUGUUGUUUACUCUCAACUUGGUUUAGCCUCUUGGGCAAGACAGUUUUACUAGAGUGUGGACAGUUUCUUGGAGUUAUAAGUGAGAGUUAUGUGAAAGGUGGAUACAAAAGAUGAAUGAACAACCCUUAAAAGGGCUCAUUAACCCUUCUUACUAGAAAUGUUAGUCCUUCAUGAACACCCCAUAUGUCCCUUUUGGAAUAUAACCAGACCAAGAGAUUAGAAAAUUGAAUGUGUGACACUCGGUAUUCUUGGUGCAUUCCAGAUAGGUUUACUUAGGAUGACACCAUAGUGGCUAGAUCACUAGACUUAGAGCAGAGAAGAACUGAGUUCAAACAAUCCUUAAUCCAUUUGCUUUCUGGAUGGCCCUGAGCAAGUUACUUUACCUUGAUCUACUUCAGUUUCCUCAACUGAAAAAAAAGGGGAUAAUAAAAGUAUUUGUCUACUAAGUUAUUAGUAGGAU
rnacentral:lncRNA from 1 species